rnacentral:rRNA from 1 species
GUCUAUGGCUAUGCCACCCUGAACAAGCCCAAUGUCUGAUCUCGGAAGCUAAGCAGGGUUGAGCCUGGUUAGAACUCGGAUGGGUGACCACCUAG